AGAGUUUGAUCCUGGCUCAGGAUGAACGCUGGCGGCGUGCCUAAUACAUGCAAGUCGAACGCUUCACUUCGGUGAAGAGUGGCGAACGGGUGAGUAAUACAUAAGUAACCUGGCAUCUACAGGGGGAUAACUGAUGGAAACGUCAGCUAAGACCGCAUAGGUGUAGAGAUCGCAUGAACUCUAUAUGAAAAGUGCUACGGGACUGGUAGAUGAUGGACUUAUGGCGCAUUAGCUUGUUGGUAGGGUAACGGCCUACCAAGGCGACGAUGCGUAGCCGACCUGAGAGGGUGACCGGCCACACUGGGACUGAGACACGGCCCAGACUCCUACGGGAGGCAGCAGUAGGGAAUUUUCGGCAAUGGGGGAAACCCUGACCGAGCAACGCCGCGUGAAGGAAGAAGUAAUUCGUUAUGUAAACUUCUGUCAUAGAGGAAGAACGGUGGAUAUAGGGAAUGAUAUCCAAGUGACGGUACUCUAUAAGAAAGCCACGGCUAACUACGUGCCAGCAGCCGCGGUAAUACGUAGGUGGCGAGCGUUAUCCGGAAUUAUUGGGCGUAAAGAGGGAGCAGGCGGCACUAAGGGUCUGUGGUGAAAGAUCGAAGCUUAACUUCGGUAAGCCAUGGAAACCGUAGAGCUAGAGUGUGUGAGAGGAUCGUGGAAUUCCAUGUGUAGCGGUGAAAUGCGUAGAUAUAUGGAGGAACACCAGUGGCGAAGGCGACGAUCUGGCGCAUAACUGACGCUCAGUCCCGAAAGCGUGGGGAGCAAAUAGGAUUAGAUACCCUAGUAGUCCACGCCGUAAACGAUGAG
rnacentral:rRNA from 1 species